CGCGGGAUUGCUCAGAUUGAACGCUGGCGGCAGGCCUAACACAUGCAAGUCGAGCGGAAACGAGAAUAGCUUGCUAUUCGGCGUCGAGCGGCGGACGGGUGAGUAAUGCCUGGGAAAUUGCCCUGAUGUGGGGGAUAACCAUUGGAAACGAUGGCUAAUACCGCAUAAUAGCUUCGGCUUAAAGAGGGGGACCUUCGGGCCUUUCGCUUCAGGAUAUGCCCAGGUGGGAUUAGCUAGUUGGUGAGGUAAAGGCUCACCAAGGCGACGAUCCCUAGCUGGUCUGAGAGGAUGAUCAGCCACACUGGAACUGAGACACGGUCCAGACUCCUACGGGAGGCAGCAGUGGGGAAUAUUGCACAAUGGGCGCAAGCCUGAUGCAGCCAUGCCGCGUGUAUGAAGAAGGCCUUCGGGUUGUAAAGUACUUUCAGCAGUGAGGAAGGGUGUGUAGUUAAUAGCUGCAUACUUUGACGUUAGCUGCAGAAGAAGCACCGGCUAACUCCGUGCCAGCAGCCGCGGUAAUACGGAGGGUGCGAGCGUUAAUCGGAAUUACUGGGCGUAAAGCGCAUGCAGGUGGUUUGUUAAGUCAGAUGUGAAAGCCCGGGGCUCAACCUCGGAACCGCAUUUGAAACUGGCAGGCUAGAGUACUGUAGAGGGGGGUAGAAUUUCA
rnacentral:rRNA from 1 species